rnacentral:rRNA from 1 species
AGAGUUUGAUCCUGGCUCAGAUUGAACGCUGGCGGAAUGCUUUCACAUGCAAGUCGAACGGCAGCACGGGAGCUUGCUCCUGGUGGCGAGCGGCGAACGGGUGAGUAAUGCGUCGGAACGUACCGAGUAAUGGGGGAUAACGCACCGAAAGGUGUGCUAAUACCGCAUACGCCCUGAGGGGGAAAGUGGGGGAUCGCAAGACCUCACGUUAUUCGAGCGGCCGACGUCUGAUUAGCUAGUUGGUGAGGUAAUGGCUCACCAAGGCGACGAUCAGUAGCGGGUCUGAGAGGAUGAUCCGCCACACUGGAACUGAGACACGGUCCAGACUCCUACGGGAGGCAGCAGUGGGGAAUUUUGGACAAUGGGGGCAACCCUGAUCCAGCCAUUCCGCGUGAGUGAAGAAGGCCUUCGGGUUGUAAAGCUCUUUCAGUUGGAACGAAACGGUACGCUCUAACAUAGCGUGCUAAUGACGGUACCGACAGAAGAAGCACCGGCUAACUACGUGCCAGCAGCCGCGGUAAUACGUAGGGUGCGAGCGUUAAUCGGAAUUACUGGGCGUAAAGCGUGCGCAGGCGGAUUGUUUAAGCAAGACGUGAAAUCCCCGGGCUUAACCUGGGAAUGGCGUUUUGAACUGGCAGUCUAGAGUGUGUCAGAGGGGGGUGGAAUUCCACGUGUAGCAGUUGAAAUGCGUAGAUAUGUGGAGGAACACCAAUGGCGAAGGCAGCCCCCUGGGAUAACACUGACGCUCAUGUACGAAAGCGUGGGGAGCAAACAGGAUUAGAUACCCUGGUAGUCCACGCCGUAAACGAUGUCAACUAGCCGUUGGGAGCCUUGAGCUCUUAGUGGCGCAUCUAACGCAUUAAGUUGACCGCCUGGGGAGUACGGCCGCAAGGUUAAAACUCAAAUGAAUGACG